CGCGUAGGCGGUUUGACAAGUCAGAUGUGAAAGCCCCGAGCUUAACUUGGGAAUUGCAUCUGAAACUGUCGAACUUGAGUCCUGGAGGGGGUAGUGGAAUUCCCAGUGUAGCGGUGAAAUGCGUAGAUAUUGGGAGGAACACCGGCGGCGAAGGCGGCUACCUGGACAGUGACUGACGCUGAGGCGCGAAAGCUAGGGGAGCGAACGG
rnacentral:rRNA from 1 species